AAGCGUUAUCCGGAUUUAUUGGGUUUAAAGGGUGCGUAGGUGGCUUUUUAAGUCAGGGGUGAAAGACGGUAGCUCAACUAUCGCAGUGCCCUUGAUACUGAUGGGCUUGAAUGAACUAGAGGUAGGCGGAAUGUGACAAGUAGCGGUGAAAUGCAUAGAUAUGUCACAGAACACCAAUUGCGAAGGCAGCUUACUAUGGUUUUAUUGACACUGAGGCACGAAAGCGUGGGGAUCAAACAGG
rnacentral:rRNA from 1 species